rnacentral:rRNA from 1 species
AUACGGGGCUUUAAUGUCUUGUAAUUGGGAUGAUGGGAAUUUAAACCUCUUCCAGAGAAUCAAUUGGAGGGCAAGUCUGGUGCCAGCAGCCGCGGUAAUUCCAGCUCCAAUAGCGUAUAUUAAAAUUGUUGCAGUUAAAAAGCUCGUAGUUGAAUUUCUGCUGCAUUGCAUUUUCUCCUAUACGAGUUUUUGCAUUGUGGCUUAUUUCGGUUAUAAAAUUUAUUUUUAUUUCCGGAUGUUUACUUUGAGAAAAUUAGAGUGCUCAAAGCAGGCUUUUGCCUUGAAUAGUUUAGCAUGGAAUAAUAAAGUAGGACUUUGGUUCUAUUUUGUUGGUUUUAGGUACCAAAGUAAUGGUUAAUAGGAACAGUUGGGGGCAUC